rnacentral:rRNA from 1 species
CCUACGGGUGGCAGCAGUGGGGAAUAUUGCGCAAUGGGCGAAAGCCUGACGCAGCGACGCCGCGUGAGGGAUGAAGGUCUUCGGAUCGUAAACCUCUGUCAGCAGGGAAGAACGGUCACUGUGCUAAUCAGCAGUGAAUUGACGGUACCUGCAAAGGAAGCACCGGCUAACUCCGUGCCAGCAGCCGCGGUAAUACGGAGGGUGCGAGCGUUAAUCGGAAUUACUGGGCGUAAAGCGCUCGUAGGCGGUAUGUCAAGUCAAGGGUGAAAUCCCCGCGCUUAACGUGGGAAAUGCCUUUGAAACUGGGAAACUGGAGUGUGUGAGAGGAUAGUGGAAUUCCAGGUGUAGGGGUGAAAUGCGUAGAUAUCUGGAGGAACAUCAGUGGCGAAGGCGACUAUCUGGCACAUAACUGACGCUGAGGAGCGAAAGCGUGGGUAGCAAACAGGAUUAGAUACCCUGGUAGUC